rnacentral:rRNA from 1 species
GCAAGGUUGAAACUCAAAGGAAUUGACGGGGGCCCGCACAAGCGGUGGAGCAUGUGGUUUAAUUCGAAGCAACGCGAAGAACCUUACCAAGGCUUGACAUCCCGAUGACUGGUGCAGAGAUGUACCUUUUCUUCGGAACAUCGGUGACAGGUGGUGCAUGGUUGUCGUCAGCUCGUGUCGUGAGAUGUUGGGUUAAGUCCCGCAACGAGCGCAACCCUUAUCUUCAGUAGCCAUCAUU